rnacentral:tRNA from 1 species
AGGCGACGGAGCUGCCGGCGAUUACAGCACGCCAUUUUAUCAAAGAGUCGGCGGUUUUGUUCGGCUCGAUAGUCGCUUUC